rnacentral:rRNA from 1 species
UUUUUUUUUUUUUGGGGAGGGGGGCCCGCUUAAAGGAAAGUUAAGUUCUUUUAAUAGGGGGAGGGAUACUGGUUACCCCCCUUAGUUGGAAUUCCGGAACCGGGGCUACCCGAAACAUUUGACCCCCGGUUAGAAUAGAAGGGGGUUCGCUUUCAUUUAGGAGGACCCGCUCCCAUACUAGGGGGGAGGAAAGCUCCCAAGGAAGGUUGGUUGCCCCCUGGGGGGGUUCGCCCCCCGGGGAUGGAACCCGCCCCAAUUUCUUCGGGAGGCAGCAGUAGGAAUCUUCCCCAAGGAAGAAAUUCGACGAACAACCCCGCUGAUGAUGAAGCUUUCGGUUGUAAAAUUUGUUGUUAGGAAGAACAAAUGCUAGUUGAUAAGCUGGCACCUUGACGGUACCAACCAGAAAGCCACGGCUACUACGUGCCAGCAGCCGCGGUAAUACGUAGGUGGCCAGCGUUAUCCGGAAUUAUUGGGCGUAAAGCGCGCGCAGGUGGUUUUUUAAGUCUGAUGUGAAAGCCCACGGUUCAACCGUGGAGGGUCAUUGGAAACUGGGAGACUUGAGUGCAGAAGAGGAAAGUGGAAUUCCAUGUGUAGCGGUGAAAUGGGUAGAGAUAUGGAGGAACACCAGUGGCGAAGGGGACUUUUUGGUCUGUAACUGACACUGAGGCGCGAAAGCGUGGGGAGCAAACAGGAUUAGAUACCCUGGUAGUCCACGCCGUAAACGAUGAGUGUUAAGUGUUAGAGGGUUUCCGCCCUUUAGUGUUGAAGUUAACGCAUUAAGCACUCCGCCUGGGGAGUACGGCCGCAAGGCUGAAAUUCAAAGGAAUUGACGGGGGCCCGCACAAGCGGUGGAGCAUGUGGUUUAAUUGGAAGCAACGGGAAGAACCUUACCAGGUCUUGACAUCUUCUGACAACCCUAGAGAUAGGGCUUUUCUUUCGGGAGCAGAGUGACAGGUGGUGCAUGGUGGUCGUCAGCUCGUGUCGUGAGAUGUUGGGUUAAGUCCCGCAACGAGCGCAACCCUUGUUUUUAGUUGCCAUCAUUAAGUUGGGCACUUUAAGGUGACGGCCGGGGACAAACCGGAGGAAGGUGGGGAGGAGGUCAAAUCAUCAUGCCCCUUAUGACCUGGGCUACACACGUGUUACAAUGGACGGUACAAAGAGCUGCAAGACCGCGAGGUGGAGCUAAUUUCAUAAAACCGUUUUCAGUUCGGAUUGUAGGCUGCAACUCGCCUACAUGAAGCGGGAAUCGCUAGUAAUCGCGGAUCAGCAUGCCGCGGUGAAUACGUUCCCGGGCCUUGUACACACCGCCCGUCACACCACGAGAGUUUGUAACACCCGAAGUCGGUGGGGUAACCUUUUGGAGCCAGCCGCCUAAGGUGGACAGAUGAUUGGGGGAAGUUGUAACAGUGCUGGAGGGCCUUGAGG